AACACCAUUACAGCAAACUGGGGAGAGAGAGAGAGAGAGAGAGAGAGAGAGAGAGAGAGAGAGAGAGAUGAUGGUCAUGAUGAUUAAAGGCGGUGACACCAACCAAACCAAACCAAAGCAAGAAACGAUCACAGAGACACGAUUCCUCCUCAUGAAAAGUUGGUUUGCCACCCAGACCAGAUGCAUGACCCACAAUGCAAGGUUAUUAUUCUAACUCCAGCACAGUCGCAAAUGCACACCAGAAUCCCAAUUGCAAUUUUUCGAAACAAAUCCCAAUUGCAAUUGCAUAUCUGUUCUGUUCUGUUCUGUUCUGAUGACAAAUCCAAUCCAAUAGGUUUGGCUCCACCACCAGUGUCCUCUCUUCCCUCCUUUAAAAGGGCUACUGCGUGACGCCAGAUUUUGCAACCAUGGU
rnacentral:lncRNA from 1 species